rnacentral:rRNA from 1 species
UACGUAGGGUGCAAGCGUUGUCCGGAAUUAUUGGGCGUAAAGAGCUCGUAGGCGGUUUGUCGCGUCGAAUGUGAAAACCCGGGGCUCAACCCCCGGGCCUGCAUUCGAUACGGGCAGACUAGAGUUCGGUAGGGGAGUCUGGAAUUCCUGGUGUAGCGGUGAAAUGCGCAGAUAUCAGGAGGAAUACCGAUGGCGAAGGCAGGUCUCUGGGCUAUAACUGACGCUCAUGCACGAAAGCGUGGGGAGCAAACAGG